rnacentral:rRNA from 1 species
GAUGAACGCUGGCGGCGUGCCUAAUACAUGCAAGUCGAGCGAAGCGGGCACGGGUGAGUAAAACGUGGAUAACCUCCUAUAUAAAUGGGGUAAAUUACGGAAACCGGUGCUAAUCCGGAUACUUAACGAUUGUUGCGCGCUGCAUUAGCUAGUUGGUAAGGUAACGGCUUACCUAGGCACCGAUGCAUAGCCGAACUGAGAGGGUGAUCAGCCACACUGGGACUGAGACACGGCCCAGACUCCUACGGGAGGCAGCAGUAGGGAAUCUUCCGCAAUGGGCGAAAGCCUGAUGGAGCAACGCCGCGUGAGUGAUGAAGGUCUUCGGAUCGUAAAACUCUGUUAUUAGGGAAGCGUUACCUACUCAGAAAGCAACGGCUAACUACGUGCCAGCAGCCGCGGUAAUUC